CCGUACUGAUUUUUAUGGUCGUCUUUUUAGCUCUUUUUACCAUCUGGCAAAGCAGUAAGAUUAAAGAUGUAAUGGUCGUAACUAUACUUCUCCUCGAAAAGCGAUCUAUGGGAAAAAAUACUUGUCCUCAACUCCUCAAGAAUCUGGAGGAUGUUGUGAGAGAUCUGACCUGGGAUUGUUACUCUCAUACAACCCUAUUCACAUCCAUGUUGUACUUACACUUGCGAGCUACUCACUGGCUCUGCAAUUUGAAUGAAACAGUUCUCAUUUUCAGUCAUUUUUUCUGGGUAUUCCACACGGGAAGAAAAUCACAUUAGGCAUGCAUACAAUUGUCAAUUUUUACAGGCUGAAAUUUUUGAAUAAUUGUCAAUUAGUUUUCAGCCGAUUGCUUGUCAAUCUUCGCAGAUUUCCAGUUUAACCCGCCCUCAAUCCAGGAGUAAUCUUGUAUAACAUUCAGUUACAAGACACAAACUAGUUAAAUAUGAUGACCCCCACCAUUAUAUCUGGCACACUGAUAAAAUACAUGGUUUAGUGUGCAUUGAAACAAUAGUUACGGAGUUUGCCUAUUUAUCUUGUUUCUCACUAUACUUUUGAUUCAUAGCGUGUUAUAGGUUCAUGUCAUUCCGAACAGUUUGGUACACCUAAUAUCCCUCUGAGAUAUCUAUGCUUUCAACAUUGUGUCCAGUUUAGGGUAGUGAAGCAUAUUAAUCCUAAAGUGUUAUAUGCGCUUGUGUGUUGGGGGCCUCUAUCUGUUUGUUAGUAUACUUCUGAGAACUGAUAAUAUUCUGCUUUUCAGGUAUCUGUUCAAGUGGAUGACAAUAAAUGUAUGAGGGUAGAGAGUAAUGUCUUCUUAUUUAUGGUGGGUAUGAGUAACAUUAAAUUGAAAUUUCAGACCUUUUACUAAUCCCUCCAUCCCAUAGUAUAAGACGUUUUUGCAAACUAAACAUAGCUUGCAAAAACGUCUUAUAUUGCGGGACGGAGGGAGUAGUAACCAGUAGAAAAAAUCAGGUUUUGGGGAGAAGAAAAGUGAACCUAAUUGCUCCAAUACUAUUAAUAGCACAAUACCAUGUUGCAUUCAGUGUUUCAGUCCUGGAGGCAUUGCUGAACAGAUGAAGUUGGUGGAAAACCUAUGGUCACCUAAAAAUUAAGCUGCUUGAAGAUCAAGUUCAGAAGUACUAUAGUCAGUUUUCAAGUUUGGUAGUAUUCACUUUUGUAAUAGUGAUUUCUGAAUAUUUCAUGCUACUAGUUACUUAGUGCUAAGUGGCAUUCAGUUGUUUUCAAACAAAUUUUAUUUCUACUUGUAAUGAUGGUUUUUGUUACGUGGGGUAUUUCCCCGAACCACUACAUGGAAUCUAUUUAUUAGACCAAUUUGUUCUAUGGUUACCGAAAAUUCCUCGUGCAAGAGUUAAUUAAUGGCCUAUGUUUCUUACUAUCACCAAAAAUGCCUCCUACAGAAUUGUUAGUGGCCUAUGUUUCUUGUGAUGACAAAAAUGCCUCCUACAGAAUUGUCAUAGUGGCCUAUGUUACUUAAAUCUCAUAUUUCAUUUUUGCUACAGAUCGAUGUAAGAUUAUCUGAGUAGCCGUAAGAUUACAGGAGGAUGCG
rnacentral:lncRNA from 1 species